rnacentral:rRNA from 1 species
UACGGGGGGGGCAAGCGUUGUUCGGAAUUACUGGGCGUAAAGGGCUCGUAGGCGGCCAACUAAGUCCGACGUGAAAUCCCAAGGCUUAACCUUGGAACUGCGUCGGAUACUGGAUGGCUUGAAUUCGGGAGAGGGAUGCAGAAUUCCAGGUGUAGCGGUGAAAGUGCGUAGAUAUCUGGAGGAAUACCGGUGGCGAAGGCGGCAUCCUGGACCGACAUUGACGCUGAUGAGCGAAAGCUAGGGGAGCAACGGG